rnacentral:rRNA from 1 species
CGAAAGCCUGACGGAGCAAUACCACGUGAGGGAGGAAGGCUCUUGGGUUGUAAACCUCUUUUUUUAAGGAAGGAGAAAGUGACGGUACUUAAAGAAUCAGCAUCGGCUAACUCCGUGCCAGCAGCCGCGGUAAUACGGAGGAUGCAAGCGUUAUCCGGAAUGAUUGGGCGUAAAGCGUCCGCAGGUGGCGAUGCAAGUCUGCUGUCAAAACCCAGGGCUCAACUCUGGUCAGGCAGUGGAAACUACAAAGCUAGAGUCUGGUAGGGGCAAAGGGAAUUCCCGGUGUAGCGGUGAAAUGCGUAGAGAUCGGGAAGAACAUCGGUGGCGAAAGCGCUUUGCUAGACCAGAACUGACACUCAGGGACGAAAGCUAGGGGAGCG